rnacentral:rRNA from 1 species
UGAAUACGAGACGCUAAGGCGUCGAAGUAGUGUAUGUCAUACUUCCAAGAAAAGCUUGCACUGUCAUAGAUAAAAAACGCCUGUACCAUAACCGACACAGGUGGGUAGGUAGAGUAUACUAAGGGGCGCGAGAUAACUCUCUCUAAGGAACUCGGCAAAAUAACUCCGUAACUUCGGGAGAAGGAGUGCCUUAUUAUUAAGGUUGCAAUAACAAGAUCCAAGCAACUGUUUAUCAAAAACACAGGUCUCCGCUAAGUCGUAAGACGAUGUAUGGGGGCUGACGCCUGCCCAGUGCCAGGAGGUUAAAGAAGCUGGUUAGCAUUUGCGAAGCUAGUAACUGAAGCCCUGGUGAACGGCGGCCGUAACAAUAACGGUCCUAAGGUAGCGAAAUUCCUUGUCGGGUAAGUUCCGACCCGCACGAAAGGCGUAAUGAUUUGGAUACUGUCUCGGAGAGGGGCUCGGUGAAAUAGACUUGUCUGUGAAGAUGCGGACUACCUGCACCAGGACAGAAAGACCCUAUGAAGCUUUACUGUAACUUGAAAUUGAAAUUGGACUUUAUUCGCGCAGUAUAGGUGGGAGGCGUUGAUUAUAAUCUUGCGGGAUUAUUGGAGCCAUUAGUGAGAUACCACUCUUGUAAUGUUAGAUUUCUAACUUUGAAUCAUUAUCUGGUCAAAGAACAGUUUCAGGCGGGCAGUUUGACUGGGGCGGUCGCCUCCUAAACGGUAACGGAGGCGUACAAAGGUUUCCUCUGAACGGUUAGAAAUCGUAUCUAGAGUGUAAAGGCAUAAGGAAGCUUGACUGUGAGACCUACAAGUCGAGCAGGGACGAAAGUCGGUCUUAGUGAUCUGACGGUACUGAGUGGAAAGGCCGUCACUCAACGGAUAAAAGUUACUCUAGGAUAACAGGCUGAUCUCCCCCAAGAGUUCACAUCGACGGGGAGGUUUGGCACCUCGAUGUCGGCUCAUCGCAUCCUGGGGCGGUAGUACGUCCCAAGGGUUGGGCUGUUCGCCCAUGAAAGCGGUACGCGAGCUGGGUUCAGAACGUCGUGAGACAGUUCGGUCCAUAUCCGGUGUAGGCGUUAGAAUAUUGAGAGGAGCCUUCUUUAGUACGAGAGGACCGAGAAGGACAUACCUCUGGUGUACCAGUUAUCGUGCCAACGGUAGACGCUGGGUAGCUAUGUAUAGAGUGGAUAACCGCUGAAAGCAUCUAAGUGGGAAGCCCACCUCAAGAUAAG